rnacentral:rRNA from 1 species
UACGGAGGGGGCUAGCGUUGUUCGGAAUUACUGGGCGUAAAGCGCACGUAGGCGGCUUUGUAAGUUAGAGGUGAAAGCCCAGGGCUUAACUCUGGAAUUGCCUUUAAGACUGCAUCGCUAGAAUUGUGGAGAGGUAAGUGGAAUUCCGAGUGUAGAGGUGAAAUUCGUAGAUAUUCGGAAGAACACCAGUGGCGAAGGCGACUUACUGGACACAUAUUGACGCUGAGGUGCGAAAGCGUGGGGAGCAAACAGG